AAAGAGGGGAAAGUGAAAUGAGAGAGAGAGAGAAUAGGCGAAGAAGAAAAGGGAGGAGAAGGAGAAGAAGAUGAAGACAGAAGACGAAGACGAAGACGAAGACGAAGAAGAAGAAGAGAGCAGACGAAGAAUACCUCAGCUUCUUCAAUUGAUCUGAACAGGGUAGAAAUGUCGAUGCCUUGAUUUUGUAUUGACAAUCUGUGCCCUCUCUGUCUCAGAUCCAAAUAUGAUUUUCCUUUGCCCUAUAGGGUGUUGUGGACCGAAAAUCAUGGCUGCUUAUGGAAUUUCAGGACAUUUUUAUUGGAUUUUCAUGGAGAAACAUUUCUGAUGCUCCUUGUCAUCGCAUCUUCCAUUGCCGUGUGGUUUAACUAGAUCUUCACAAAGACACAUUGUGGUGAGGUUUUCUUUUGUUGGUUUACAAGUACAUGUAGAAAAGAUGUGAAAAAGUUUAAUAUUGCACUCUAGUACACAACUUAUGGGCUUAUUACUAAUGUGAUUAAAGCUGCUUUGGUUUGCAAAUUCAAUGUCAUGUUUAAAUGUU